AUGCGCGAAAGCGUGACAGGGGAAUCCGAGUGAUUCCUUAGGUAAAUCUUUUGUCUGUGUGAAUAACUGGUGGAAUAAGGGGCGGGUAAGACCUGUGCCAGCCUUUUUACCACUUUACGUGUUUACCGUCGUAUAAAUGAAUACCGAGUCUAAACCGGCCGUAGCUGGGUUCUCCCCUUAUCUGGGAAAUAACACAGCCUAACCCUGAUUGGUGUGUUCUAUACUAGGACGUUUGGGAUUGGGGAAGGGCGUAGGUACGGAACGGCGAGGAUUAAAAAUGGGUAAGGGUUGAGGGACCUUCAGAGGAGAAAGCAAAUGACCUAAUCCUGGAUGGACCCGCGGGAGCAAAGGGAUCUGACCAAAACGGAUUUGAUACCCGGGUGCUCAUGCUAAGAAAACCAAACGGAUUAGAUACCCCUGUACCCUCAAGGGUAAAUGAUGCCGAACUGAGGGUUGCCACCCCUUCCAGUCGGGACAAUGGCCGAAUGUAUAAGUUUAAUCCGCCUUCUGGGGGGGAGCCAACGCAAGCUUUAAACUUAAAGGAAUUGGCGGGGGGAGCACA
rnacentral:rRNA from 1 species